UACGGAGGGGGCUAGCGUUGUUCGGAAUUACUGGGCGUAAAGCGCACGUAGGCGGCUUUGUAAGUUAGAGGUGAAAGCCCGGGGCUCAACUCCGGAAUUGCCUUUAAGACUGCAUCGCUAGAAUUGUGGAGAGGUAAGUGGAAUUCCGAGUGUAGAGGUGAAAUUCGUAGAUAUUCGGAAGAACACCAGUGGCGAAGGCGGCUUGCUGGGCCGGACCUGACGCUGAGACGCGAAGGCGUGGGGAGCGAAACGGG
rnacentral:rRNA from 1 species